rnacentral:rRNA from 1 species
AACAAGGUUUCCGUAGGUGAACCUGCGGAAGGAUCAUUAUUGAAUGAACUUGGUGUGGUUGUUGCUGGCCCUUUCGGGGGCAUGUGCACACCCACCAUCCUCAUCUCUCCACCUGUGCACCUCUUGUAGACUUGGAUUGACUUUYCGAGGCAACUCGGUCGGGAGGACUUGCUGGCAUUAGCUGGCUKUCCUUGCAUUUCCAAGUCUAUGUUUUUCAUAUACCCCAUUGAAUGUAACAGAAUGUAACAUAUUGGGCCUUUGUGCCUAUAAAAACUUAUACAACUUUCAGCAACGGAUCUCUUGGCUCUCGCAUCGAUGAAGAACGCAGCGAAAUGCGAUAAGUAAUGUGAAUUGCAGAAUUCAGUGAAUCAUCGAAUCUUUGAACGCACCUUGCGCUCCUUGGUAUUCCGAGGAGCAUGCCUGUUUGAGUGUCAUUAAAUUCUCAACUAUUAUCAGCUUUUGCUGAUAAUGGCUUGGAUAUGGGGGUUUAUUUUGCUGGCUUCUUCACAGAUUGUCAGCUCCCCUUAAAUGCAUUAGCCGGUGCCCCGCGUGGACUGUCUAUUGGUGUGAUAAUUAUCUACGCCGUGGACAUCUACAAUCAUAUGGGUUUGCACUGCUUCCAACCGUCUGUUUAUUCAGACAAUACAUGACAAUUUGACCUCAAAUCAGGUAGGACUACCCGCUGAACUUAA